UUUCCUAAAUCUAUAAAUACAAUUUUUUAACAUAUACCUUCUAUCAAAGUUUUUGGUGCAUGGGUUUUCGAGAGGCGAAUAUAUCUAUUAACGUUUAUUAAUUCGUACAUUUAUCACCAGAGUUCGGAAUUUACCACACUUUUCAAUGAACAAAAAAAAAAAAAAACGAUUCACCUUCGUUGAACCCCGUCAGAAGGUCAAUAAGCCCUUUAAGUGCUGAAUUAAACAUUUUAAAAAUAUUGCCUUCCUACCUAAUUACCCUAACUUAUUGUAAAAUAAAAAAAAUCUUUUUACAUAAACAUACACAUCGAGAUACAAAUGGUAAGAGAAAUCGCUUUUAUAGUAGAGAGCCGUCUACGAGUUAUACUUUCGAAUUAUUCGUUACGUACGGAAUAAAAAAUAAUCCUAAAGCAUAAUAUUGUACAAGAGCAUCCGAAAAAAAUCCGUUUUGCGAUAUAUUCCAAAUACUAUUUUUCAUAAAUUUUACAAGUGACUAAAUUAUAUUACAGUCAUGUUGAAUUGCCUAUACCCGUCUCCACAGAACAUACAAUUUAACCAAAUUCAAUCCCGCUAAGACGUAAUCGCGGUAAUAAUAUUCUAAAGUCACACGGUUGUAAGUUUGAUUGCGUUAUGCAAACCCCUUAAAACGGUGUAAAUUAUGUGGGUACAUACGCAAAAUGUUUGUAAAUAAUAAAUUAUGGAUUUUUAUUCGGUACUAUUGUUUGUGUACGUAACAAAUUAUAAAUUUGUACUUGUCGGAGUAAAGGUAACGAAACACUGGAACCGAACAACGUUCAAAUUGUCAACGGAUGGUUACACGGUACGGUAACUAGGAGAAAACGGUCUUUUGCGUCGCAAGAGGUUUGUAUAAUUGCAAUAUUAUGAUAUUUCGGAGUAUAGUUUAUCACUUUAAAAAAUUGUCGUAUGACAAUUUGUUUGUUUCGAUAAUUUAACAGAAUAUCUGUCUGUAUAAAAAUAUAUUUGACUAAAAUUAUUGUUCAUAAUUACAGUGUUAUUAAAAAUGUAUACAAUAGAAACGUAUUUUAGAUUUUAGCAAAGAAAACUAAUAAUCCGGAUUUUCCCGUACGUUUUGAAAACUUUACUAUGCAUUAAUAUUAAUUUAAUUAUUAUUUUUUUUUUUUUUAUAAAAUCAUAAGGACUUCAAUAUUGAUCGUUUUUAUUAAAUCAAACUUAUUUUAUAACAACUGAUAAUAAAUCAAAGGAAAAAAAUACCCGAAUUUUCAGAAUCAAAAAACAGAAACCCGAAUAGUCAGUGUCACUGUACAGUAGAUUAGUCUAAUUAGUGGACAAAAUUAAUAGUAUAACUUGACGUUUUACGAGUUUUGACCACGGACAUACAAACUGAGCAAAUACAGUGCGUCCCAUCACGUUCGUCUGAUUUUUCUAACGCUGUUAACAUUAAAUUUUUCUCUCUAUCGGUUUAUCUUCGAAUGGGACAUUGAUUUGGAGAAAUAGUACAUUUUUAUUUUCAUCUCUGAUUCUAAAUCUGAUUUAUAAAAACGUUCGAAAUACAACGAUACGUUUGAAUACUUACGGUAUCGUGUUGUGUAGAAUGACGUCGAGAGCUUAAGGACAAAACAAGACGGUUCAGUCAGAAUAAACGGAGACCCCGACGAAGAGGACUACGCGGACGUACCGGAUACAGGAGACAUUUUCCAAACGAUAAUAGGUAUACGGUUACAAUAUUGUACUUAACUCUAAACAAUAAUAAU
rnacentral:lncRNA from 1 species